GUUAGGAUGGCUGAGUGGCCUAAGGCUCCAUACUCAAGUUCUGGUCCUCGAAAUAGAUUUGUGGGGUUCAAAUACCACUUCUAACA
rfam:Picea glauca, whole genome shotgun sequence.